rnacentral:lncRNA from 1 species
GCAGUUAAUUCAUCAAACAUUUUCUUUGUAAGGUAAUAGUGUUUAAACAUACAUUCAUUACUAGAUUCUAGGUUGGAUACAUAGAUGACUAAGUCAUCUUGUAAUUUAAAGUCUCAUGAGCCAUAUCUUUAAUAAAAUGGAGUGAGUGCAACACAGGACUAGUAAUAGAAUGCUUCUUUCUCAUGCAAAGGAACAUAUAAUAUAAAUUAUAUUACCCGUAAUCACCAAAGUGCUGGUGACUAGUUUCUCCAAAAAAGGAGAAAAAAUAAAGUCCUGAUUUGUAACAUUUGCCAGUCUUUAAAAUAAAAAUGUUGCCACCAUGGCUGAUUUCAAGCUACCAAUGUGAUGUCAUUGAACAUGGAGUUAGAAGAUAUGCUCACAGAAAUGUGAAAUCAGAUAUGCACUGGUUCCAGUACACCAUUAUCUGUUAUGCUUUGUAUUGCAUGAUUUUGUUUUGGUGGAACUUAGGUUUUUGAAAUAAAUAAACGUUACAAAAAUCACCAGCUGAAUUGAUUUUUUAAGUUUAGGGAAGUCACUCAACUUCUAUGGAUCUCAGUUUCUUACUUUAUAAUAUUCAUUUGAUGCCCUAUACCAAUUUAAAAUGUUGAAGAAUUAUGUAACUGAUGAUAAUUGGAAGGGCUGAUUGCACAGCUCUUUGUUGACUAGUUAGCAUAUCAGUAGUGGUGCCAGGUAUCACAGAAUUUAUCUUUUUUCAUGCCUUUUUGACACAAUCCAUAAGUGCAAAUAUUUUGAGAUUACAACAUUAAAUUAUCAAUUUUAUCUGAGGUUUUGAAAAAUAUUGAAGACUUAUGUAACAUUGAGCCAAAGGCAAUUAAAACCACUGGCAUUACCAUCUUCUAACAGCUUUCUUUCUCCGUUAAGAAAUAAAAUUAAAUAUCUUUAAACUGGUUAUUCCUUAGAUUGCCUAUCAUUCUUUUCUCUCUCAUUAUGCUCCAAACAUAAAGGCCCCUUGCUAUUCCUUGAGAACAUCAAAUUACCUCAGACUCAGGAUUUUGGAUAUGCCUCUUCCUGAUAAAGUUAUGUUUUCACACACACACACACACACACACACACACACACAGUCUCUCUCUGUCUCUGUCUCUUUCUCUCUGUCUCUCUCUCUCUCUCUUUUAGUUGGGUAGAAGAAAAACAUUACCUUCAUGCACUCAACUGAACACUUUCUAGAGGGUAAGCUCCAUCAACUAAAUUGAAUAUAUUCACAUAGGAGUAUUUUUUUAUUCUUUUAGUGUUUAUUCAGCUGAAGCUAAUGCAUUAUAAGACAUAGCUGGACAGAAAAAUAUGUAACAACUUUUCUGGUCCAUGGCAAGAAAGGAGAAGGAGGCAGAAUUUGUCUUCAAAAAUCAAGUAAUUAACACUGAUGUAGUUGGGAUCACUAAGGAUCCUUUUCAUUUGUAUCUAUUUGUUGAAUAAAUAGACAUCCAGUUAUUUGUAUUGGAUUUGUUUUCUACUUCAACAGCCUGGUUUUUGGCUACCCAUAAGUAGGUUUGUGAAAGAUGUGUUGACAUUUAAUUUAUGCAUAGCUCAAAAUCAAUUUAUUCUAGACAGAAAAAAUUGGUUUUGGAAGAGAAGGUUGAGAUUAUAAAUAUAAGUGUUUUUUCUUGCAGAUGGAGAAGUCUCCUAUAGUGUCACUUUUACCAACUUUAUAAACAUUUUAUGAGAGAGUCAUGGAUUAUAUAUAGAUUUAAUUGUCAAGACAAUAAAGAUUUAUGAGAAAAAUUAAACUACAAAAAAGAAUGAUAAUUUUUGGUGGCUUCAAAAUAGAAUUAACAAUAUUUUAUUGUUGCUGAAUGCCAUAGUAAUAACUUGUCACAUUAUCAGUUGCCCUUUGUCAUACCAGGAUAUUUGUGCUAAGUAUCUUCUUUUGGAUUUGGUUUUCUGCUAUGCAUUAGUCUUCUUUUUCCUUUGUCUCUUUAAAGUUAUAUCUACCUCCAUUAAUAUUUGACUCUAGAUAUUUUCUCCAGGAUGCUUUGAUGCAGAUUAAUUUGCCUGCAGAGAAAUAGCAGAGACAGAUGCUUCUCUGUCUCCUGAAUUCUCACUUUCAAGAACAGUGAAAUUAAAGGUUAACAAGGUACAAACAGAUAAGUUAUGCCAUUGGUCUUGGAAUCCAUCUGCUAUUGUACUUAUAAUAAAGUAAGUCAUAUGGUCAAAUGUGCAAUUUGUUAUUGAUGUCCAUUUGCUGAUUUAGUUAAUAAAAAACAAAUUAGUUAUCUUGUUCUGAUUACUUGAUAAUUUUCUAAUUCAAAUUUAAACAUAGUAUUUUAUCUACAGAAAAGAGAAACAAUAAUACAGCCUAAUUUAUGAGUUAAAACAACCACAGAAUAUCAAUUAUUCUAUAAAAGGAAAAUUUGAUGGAGAGUGUGGUAUUGUGUUUUACUGAAGACCUGGAUUGUGUUCAUGAUGACUCCAUAUAGUGACCUUGGAAAUUUUAUAUGACCUCUUCAAGGUUCACUAUCUUCCCCUGUAAAAUGUAAAUAAAAUAAUAUCUGUUUCAUAGAAUCACUGUGAGGAUUCAAUGAAAUAAAUUAUGAACAAUUUUUAGUACAACAGCUGGCUUAAAAUCUUUAUCUAAGGAUCUAGAACCUGGCAAGGGAAAACAUUCUAAUUUCUUGGGCUCUAACCUACAGAAAUAGGGGUAACUUAAAGUAGAAACAUCUAAAUGCAAGGGUCUCCUGGGUGAUACUUCGCCUUGAGCUCAUCUCCAAGCCACACAAAAACCUGAGAAUUGUGCUGAAUCCUUCCUACUUAUGUGAUCUUGGCUCCUCCAAUCAGACAAUAUAGCUAAAUACCGUGAACAUGUCCACAGUUAAGAAAUAUUUAGCUAUGUAAAAUGUAGAGGAAAUGUAGAAAUAAAUUUAUAUUACCAAAUCAGAUUUAUUGAAAGUUUAACAUGUAUUAUUAUAUAAGCCAUACUUCUUGAAUGUAAUAAAAUUCAUUAAAGAUAAUGAAAGGGAACACAUUAAAAUUUUGAUAAUCUCUGUAGAAUGCUUAGUUCAAUAUCUAGAAUUAUACUUGGGCAAGCUGCUUGCUUUCUAUUUCUACAUACAGUGGUUUGGAAAAUUCUAAGAUUAGGUUGUUAAAGGAAAGUGCAUGAAACUGCUGAUUCAUUACUUUUCUAAUAAUAAACUAUGAUGAGUAAGUAUAAAUGAUUAUCAGGGAAUAGAAUGAGCAAUAGCUAUAAUGAACACAGAGGGGGUACAUUUCCAAAAUAGCAUGUGCCAUAUGUACACACAAACCCAAUUAUUCAAGUAAUGUACACAUCACUCAAGCCAUGUUUUGCAAAUCAGCAAACUUUUUAAAGUUCCUUCUAAUGAGAAGUUUGUUGAUUGUUGCCCAGGGAAAAGUAAGGAGGAUCUGAGUAGUACUUUCUGGAGAAAAUUACAGCUGGUUUUGGAUUUCUUUCCUUUAAUCAUCAAGAAAAAUAAUCAUAAAGAAAUUACACUUAGAAGCCUUUCGUUCCAUAGUUAGGACUCACAUCAAGCAUCUAAUAUAUUAAUUAGAGCCCUCUGAGGGGCUAUAUAGAUCUAACUUGCUACCCUUUCAUGAAGAAAAGUUAAGGUAUAUAUGUUUACUUCUACAAGUUGAUUUUUUGCAUUGUUUUCAUCUAAUGCCUUAACUGUGCCAGUUCUGUAUAUUCUAAAGGAAUUUCUCAUGUUUUUAUAACUUGGAACAAAUAACAAAAGACCACAUAGUUUGUGGAUUGAAUUGAAGUUUUAACCGUCUCCCUUUCUAGCUAGAAAACUCUUAAGAUACAACCACAGCAGAGUUUACUAUUUCUUCCUAUAGUCCCCCACAUAUAUGUGAUUUAAUAUGCAUUUAUCACCCUUUUUGUUAUCUGCCUACUAAUGUUUUUUCAAACUAAGUACCGAUCAAGGAUAUAACUUUAUUAAUUAUGAUAUCCCUAGUACAACACCUUAUAACUCUUAGUAACUUAAUAAAUGUUUGCUGAGUGAAUAAGUCUCCUUCACCAUAAAGAAAUAUAUAUUACUAUGCAGCUAUUUUCUUAGGGUUAUAUGAGAUACAUAUGAAAGCAUCAAAGACAGGGCUUAAAAUAUAGUGAGUACUCAAUAUUUAACUAUGCUUAUGGACAGAUAAUUAGCUUUUCCAGUAUUACUUCUUCUUUAAUUUUUUUCAUAAAGUAGUUAUAUUAUUCUCACAAAUUAACCUCCAUUUCUGUUUCUCUUGUGGGGUCAUUUGCUAAAAUACUAAAAUACAAUCUACAUUUGGUAGCUGCAGUGACCUCUACAAGACAUUCAUUGAAUUCACUCACUUCUGUCAUUUUAACAAUUAUUAUUGCAGCAUUUUCCAAUCUUUUUUUACAUCUUUGUUUUACCCAAUCUUGGAUUUUUCAUAAAGGUCUAUUUAUGUUUAUGUCUAUAUGUCUAUUAUGUCUUCCUCUUUCUAUAAAAUAAAACUACAAGUACAUACCAACUCUUAUUUUGUCUGUUUACAAACAAACUUAACUCCAACUAAAAAAAACAAAACAAAACAAAACAAAAAAACAAAAAAUCCGAUCAGGAGCACCUGGAUAGCUCAGUCUGUUAAGCAUUGACUCUUUAUUUCAGCUCAGGUCAUGACCUUAGGGUCAUGAGUUGAAGCCCUAUGUUGGGUUCCAAGCUGGUCAGGAAGUCUGCUUAAGAUUCUCUCACCCUCUGCUCUGUCUCAUCUCCCUGUUCCUACUCACACUCUCUUUCUCUCUAAGAUAAGUAAGUAAAGAAAUAAAAAUAAAAAUAAAAAAAUAUCUGACCAGAAUAAUAACAAAGUAAUGAAAAUUCUGGACAUAUCAAUUAUAUUAUUUCAACAAAUAAGAAUGACAAUCAGACUGUGAACAAAAAACUAAUUCACUAUUAUUGAAAUCAGAAAGUACAUAAAGAGAAUCACAGAUUGGUCUACUCUUCAGGACCAUACAUGAUGCUUUACCAAGAAAGGAAGUUGGCCAGGGAUCUAUUUCAGGUUCUUAUAGAAGUUGAUUGUCUAGAUAGACAGAGAGAUAUAAAUAUAGCUAUAGAUAUAGAUAUAGUGUUGAUAAAUUUGUAUGAUAUGUACUUAAUAUGAUGUAAUUGUUGAAAAUCAUAUUUUACCUCUGUGAUAUUAUCCCCAAAAUCCAGUAUCUCAUUCUCAUCAUUAGAAAAACAUCCGACAAAAAGGAAUUCAGGGAUAUUCUACAAAACAUUUACCCAACAAACUGUCAGGGUCAUCAACAACUAGGAGGAAGGAAGAAAUUCAUAAUCUAGAGGAGCCUGGCCCUUGGCAUCAGAGUUCAAGAGUUAAACAUUGACCUUGUAUCUUCCUGCUUUUAGAUCUUAUGCAAAUUGUCAAAAUAUUUGAGAUACUCUUUUUUUUUUCAUCUAUAAAAUUAGAAUGACAGUAUUGGAGCCAAAGGCUUUAUAUUAAAUGAGAUAAUCUAAGUAAAAGACCUAGAUGCCUAGAACGUUGAAGGCAGUAAGUAGAUACUGGCUCUCUCCUUCCUUCUCCUUCAAGCUCUACCAGCAACUUAAUCUAUUCUAAAGUGCUCGAGGUUACAUCACAUUCCUGAUAGUUAGCUAUUACUUUACUCUUUUUUAAUUAUUAAAAUAAAACAUUAAAAGUGAUUUAUUUAUUGUUGGGAUAUAUAUCUAUAGCAGCCUUAAAUAUAAACUGAAUUUAUGACAGAAGUAGUUUCCUUGAAAAUGCUUUCCUCCAAUUUUUUAAAAAAAUCACAGUUUUGAUUGUUUUGCUAUUAAAUCUUUAGGUUAUAUAUACCAUUCUCUUAUGAUAGUAUCUUUUUUACACUUUAACUACAAAGUGAAACAUUACAUAUACUAAUAUUUACAAAAUCUUAAGAAUGCUGAGAUUUAUAAAGAGAGUUUGUGGUUUAUAACAUAAAUGACACUUGAAUAUUUACUGGGUUUGUAAAAAUGGCAAGAGUCACAAUCAUCUCAUUAUAGACAAUGAGAAUUUUCCUAUAUUUUAUUUAGAAACAAAAAUGACUUUAAGAAUUGCAAGCCAUUUAGAUAUUUCACAGAAUUUUUAUUUCCUCCUUAUGUUGUAUUUUAGAAAAGUCUGACCUACCCUAUUGUGCUUCCUUUAAACAUAAGCACAAAAUAAUCACUAGUUUGAAAAUUAUAUCAUAUCAGUUUCUCACAAACCAUGAGAAAGCUAGCAUCUACUUUGAUUCUGGAAUAGAAGAAAAAUAAAGUUAGUCUAUAAUUUCAGCCUAGUGCUUAUUUUGUAUUUUGGAGGAGGACAACUUUAAUGUGAAUCAUAGGUAAUUCCUUGGUUGUGGUAAUGUUUCAAAUAUACAUUGGAUCUUAAAAAUGAAAUCACUUAUACACUUCCUUCAAAGUAUUCUGCAGUGGGAUUAUAGAAAAGUAAUAUAAAAUAUUUCUAAACAAAUUUUCCCUUGCUUGCUGUUGACUUUAAUUUUAUUCAGCCAAAAAUAUACACAAGUUGAUACUCAAUAAUACUAAAUUGACUACAAUUUCUCUUUCUCCUGAGGAAUAUGUUUCAUUAUCCACUUACACCCAUUAUUUGUGAAUAAAGAGGGUAUUUUGUAUAUUGGCAAAGAUAUAGAAGACAUGAAACUUCCCUGAUGUAAUUUCAGCUAAUUAAAUACUCAUUAAGAAAGAAAUAGAAAAUGCCUGAGAACUUGCUUAAAGUAAUUUUAAUUUUUAAUCAUUUUAUUCUGUCACUAAUUAAACAGGUUGAUGUGUACCUAUAGGCUAUUUACCUAGUUUCUUACAUUUUACCCUAUAAUUUAGUGUGUGCCACUAAUAAAAGCAUGAUCGUUUUUGAAGAUGUUCAGAUUUUUCCCACAUUGUUUUAUUUUUAAGUACAAUGCUUGUAUAAUUCCCAUAGAUUUGCUAUAUACUUUUAUAUACUUCCCUUCAAUUCUACAAAAACAGAAUUGUGGUAACCCUCAUAUUUAAGAAACAGGUAAGAUGGAGGAAGAAAAUUCACUAAAAAGGAGGACAAAUAAAUGGUAAAUGACACAAAAAGACGAUCAUAAUGGAAAAACAAUAAGACACAGUUAAAAAGUAUGGCCUAAUGUCUAUGAAUAUUCGGGAUGGAAUCCCAGCUUUGACUAUUUAUAAGCUGUGUGACCUAUCUGAUUUAUCCAGCUCUCUGAACCUUGGUUCUUCCAACUCUAAAUAAGUUAUAAUGCUAAUUACCUUAAAUAAUUGUGAGGAUUAAUAAUACUGACUAUAUCACAUUUAUCACAGUGUCUGGCACGUGAUUGUGGCUGCCAAUUAAUUUUGGAUCACCCUUCACUAACUUCUUUCCAGAGUUUAGCUAUAAAUAAUAUCAUCCCAAUUUAACAUUAAGGAAAACUGAGACUUAUCAUCCUAUCUCCAUUUUUAUGUAUUAUAAAUUAGGGAUAAUUAUUUUAUUGUCCUGCCAAUUCCACAUCAAUGCUCUGGGAAUAAAUCAAUUUCAGUAUUGCAGAUGAAAGUAUGUUGUCAACUACACAAUGUUGUAAAUGUCCUAGAAGAGGCACAUGCUGCACAUAAGUCAUCAGAUUCUCAGCAAAUAUGGCAGCACCAAGGUGUAAGUCUGGUGCUUUGCAUUCUAAUUCAAAUUUGUUCAUUCUGAAAGUGUUUUUAUUUUUAUAAGACCAAAAAGUACUUCCACAUUAUGUCAAGUUCUGAAAACUUAAAUUAGAAAGAUAACAAAGAAGUGGAAGUUAAUGGAUACAUUUGUGAUACAUUUUAAAGUUAGAAUGGAGGGCAGCCCGAGGGGCUCAGCGGUUUAGCCCCACCUUCAGCCCAGGGCCUGAUCCUGGAAACCCGGGAUCGAGUCCUACGUCAGGCUCCCUGUAUGGAGCCUGUUUCUCCCUCUGCCUAUGUGUCUCUG